rnacentral:rRNA from 1 species
CAGCAGUAGCCGCGGGAAUACGUAGGGAGCAAGCGUUGUUCGGAUUUACUGGGCGUAAAGGGCGCGUAGGCGGCGCGGUAAGUCACUUGUGAAAUCUCUGAGCUUAACUCAGAACGGCCAAGUGAUACUGCUGUGCUAGAGUGCGGAAGAGGCAACCGGAAUUCUUGGUGUAGCGGUGAAAUGCGUAGAUAUCAAGAGGAACACCUGAGGCGAAGGCGGGUUGCUGGGCCGACACUGACGCUGAUGCGCGAAAGCCAGGGGAGCAAACGGGAUUAGAUACCCCCGUAGUCCCUGUCUCUUAUAC